CGGCAUGCCUUACNCAUGCAAGUCGAACGGUAACAGGGCCGCAAGGUGCUGACGAGUGGCGAACGGGUGAGUAAUACAUCGGAACGUGCCCGAGAGUGGGGGAUAACGAAGCGAAAGCUUUGCUAAUACCGCAUACGAUCUACGGAUGAAAGCAGGGGACCCGCAAGGCCUUGCGCUGACGGAGCGGCCGAUGGCAGAUUAGGUAGUUGGUGGGAUAAAAGCUUACCAAGCCGACGAUCUGUAGCUGGUCUGAGAGGACGACCAGCCACACUGGGACUGAGACACGGCCCAGACUCCUACGGGAGGCAGCAGUGGGGAAUUUUGGACAAUGGGCGCAAGCCUGAUCCAGCCAUGCCGCGUGCAGGAUGAAGGCCUUCGGGUUGUAAACUGCUUUUGUACGGAACGAAAAGACUCUGGAUAAUACCUGGGGUUCAUGACGGUACCGUAAGAAUAAGCACCGGCUAACUACGUG
rnacentral:rRNA from 1 species